rnacentral:lncRNA from 1 species
CCAUUUUCAAAACAUUCUUUUAGAAAAGAUAAAUGACAUGUAUUGCGGUGAGCUUUUAAAACCUUUCUUACAUUGUCCUCCUUAAUUCUCAGAAAAUCGGAUAAGGCUACAACGGGGUCUAUUCCGAUAGGUGGGCUAAUUAAUUCAGCUUUCAAAGGUUUCCCUAUGGCAAUGCUAUACUCUUCCAAGGUGGGCGUGAGUUCAUG